CAAAGGUUUGGUCCUAGCCUUUCCAUUAGUUAUAAAUAAGAUUACACAUGCAAGUAUCCGCAUCCCAGUGAAAAUGCCCUCCAAACCAUUUAUGAUCCAAAGGAGCAGGCAUCAAGCACGCAUUAAUGCAGCUCAUAACGCCUUGCUUAGCCACACCCCCACGGGAUACAGCAGUGAUAAAAAUUAAGCCAUGAACGAAAGUUCGACUAAGCUAUAUUUAAACCAGGGUUGGUAAAUUUCGUGCCAGCCACCGCGGUCAUACGAUUAACCCAAAUUAAUGGAUUCACGGCGUAAAGCGUGUCAAAGAACAAUCCCACAUUAAAGUUAAAACUUAACUGGGCCGUAAAAAGCUACAGCUAACACAAAAUAAGCCACGAAAGUAACUUUAACACUUCCAACUACACGAUAGCUAAGACCCAAACUGGGAUUAGAUACCCCACUAUGCUUAGCCCUAAACUCAGACAGUUAACUAAACAAAACUGUCCGCCAGAGAACUACUAGCAACAGCUUAAAACUCAAAGGACUUGGCGGUGCUUUACAUCCCUCUAGAGGAGCCUGUUCUAUAAUCGAUAAACCCCGAUAUACCUCACCACCCCUUGCUAAUUCAGUCUAUAUACCGCCAUCCUCAGCAAACCCUAAAAAGGAAGAAAAGUAAGCACAAAUAUCCUUACAUAAAAAAGUUAGGUCAAGGUGUAACCCAUGAGGUGGGAAGAAAUGGGCUACAUUUUCUACACCAGAACAAACCCUUCACGAAAGCCCUUAUGAAACCUAAGAGCUAAAGGAGGAUUUAGUAGUAAAUUAAGAAUAGAGAGCUUAAUUGAAUCGGGCCAUGAAGCACGCACACACCGCCCGUCACCCUCCUCAAGUAAUAUACUCAAGGACAACCUAUUCAAACAACAAAAACACAAGAGGAGACAAGUCGUAACAAGGUAAGCAUACUGGAAAGUGUGCUUGGAUUAC
rnacentral:ncRNA from 1 species